UACGUAGGGCGCAAGCGUUGUCCGGAAUUAUUGGGCGUAAAGAGCUCGUAGGCGGUCUGUCGCGUCCGUUGUGAAAACUCGAGGCUCAACCUCGGGCUUGCAGUGGAUACGGGCAGACUAGAGUGCGGUAGGGGGAGACUGGAAUUCCUGGUGUAGCGGUGGAAUGCGCAGAUAUCAGGAGGAACACCAAUGGCGAAGGCAGAUCUCUGGGCCGUAACUGACGCUGAGGAGCGAAAGCAUGGGGAGCGAACAGG
rnacentral:rRNA from 1 species